UUCGGGUCCCUCGUCAAAUACGCACAGCACACAGUCUGAUAAGGGCAUUUGAGGCAUGCACUGUGAUGAUUGAUCGGUUCCGGCAAUUCCAUUGCUUUCAAAUCCAAGCUCGUGUCCUGAAAAUCAGGUAUAACAGGAGGCCGGUAUCGAUCUCUUGGUUCCUGAAGUCCAUCAUCAUGAGAUACAAAAUAACUUGGCCCUUGUGUUCGAACGAAUAGGAAGCUCUUCCAGUUUUCAACUCUAGCGGCAUAACUUUUCUUUUCGAAUGGAUCUUCACCUCUGCUGUCACGUCUAUCCUUCCCUUUAUACCCAACUUUGCAGCUGAUGGUAAUUGGAUUACAAGUUUGCUACCAAAUUCUACAUCAGCUCCAAUGUGAUGCUCCAGGGAAGAUCCAUCACUUGUUGCG